rnacentral:rRNA from 1 species
CGCCUGUUUAUCAAAAACAUGUCUUUUUGAAAAUAAUUUUAAGUCUGAUYUGCUCCAUGAAAAAAAUUAAAUAGCUGCAGAAUUUUAACUGUACAAAGGUAGCAUAAUCAAUAGUUUUUUAAUUAAAAGCUGGAAUGAACGAUUUGAUAAAGUAAAUAUUGUCUCAGAUUUAAUAAAAUUAGAAUUUUUUUUUUAGUAAAAAAACUAAAUUAGAUUUGAAAGACGAGAAGACCCUAUAGAUUUUUAUAUUUUAUUUUAAUAAAAUUUAAAUUAAUAAAUAAAUUUUAAAUGAAAAAUAUUAGGUUGGGGAAAUUAUUAAAUUAAAUUAAUUUUAAUUAUUAAUUACCAAUAAUUAUUGAAUUUUUGAUCUUAAUUAUAAAUUUGGAGAAUAAACUACCUUAGGGAUAACAGCGUAAUUUUUUUGGAGAGAUCUAAUUGAUAAAAAAGUUUGCGACCUCGAUGUUGAAUUAAGAUAAAAUUUUAAUGAAGAAGUUAAAAAUUUUUGGUCUGUUCGACCAUUAAAAUCUUACGUGAUCUGAGUUCARACCGGA